rnacentral:lncRNA from 1 species
UUCUUAAUGCAACUCAAGAACAGGAGAUACCUGUGCAAGUUAUGUCAUGUCAGCAUCCAUGGUCAUAGGGCAAAAUCCAAGCAAUUAGCUCUAGCCACAAGUUACAUCAAACUUGCAUCAUGCAAAUUUGAAGAGGUUCCAAUUUGGAUGCUUUCUUCCCGUAAAAGCAAUCUCAUGUUGUCAACUUGCCCUAUAUUUGUCUUAGGUAAUGUUGCUUAUAUUGGUGUAGCACAACUGGGCGAUAUACACAGUUCUAUACAUGUUUUUUUCCUUUCCUCGUCGAUAUAUUCAAAAGCUUAAGCCGAUAGAUAAUUCACAAUUUUAUUGCUUAACAAUGUCUUUCAUGUGUUGCAGAGUGACACAAUGGAUCAAGC